rnacentral:tRNA from 1 species
AGCGGGGUAGAGCAGCCCGGUAGCUCGACGGCCUCAUAAGCCGUAGGUCAGUGGUUCAAAUCCACUCUCCGCUA